rnacentral:rRNA from 1 species
AGAGUUUGAUCCUGGCUCAGAACGAACGCUGGCGGCGUGCCUAACACAUGCAAGUCGAGCGCGAAUGGAGCAAUCCUAGUAGAGCGGCGCACGGGUGCGUAACACGUGGAUAAUCUGCCUGGGUGUCUGGGAUAACCAGUCGAAAGAUUGGCUAAUACCGGAUAAGCCCCCGGGAGCUUCGGCUCUUGAGGGAAAAGGUGGCCUCUGUAUACAAGCUAUCACAUCCAGAUGAGUCCGCGGCCCAUCAGCUAGUUGGCGGGGUAAUGGCCCACCAAGGCAACGACGGGUAGCUGGUCUGAGAGGACGAUCAGCCACACUGGAACUGAGACACGGUCCAGACUCCUACGGGAGGCAGCAGUGGGGAAUUUUGCGCAAUGGGCGAAAGCCUGACGCAGCAACGCCGCGUGUGUGAUGAAGGUCUUCGGAUUGUAAAGCACUUUCGACCGGGACGAAAACCCGUUGGCUAACAUCCAACGGCUUGACGGUACCGGGAGAAGGAGCACCGGCUAACUCUGUGCCAGCAGCCGCGGUAAUACAGAGGGUGCAAGCGUUGUUCGGAAUUAUUGGGCGUAAAGCGCGUGUAGGCGGCUUUGCAAGUCGGGUGUGAAAGCCCUCAGCUCAACUGAGGAAGUGCGCCCGAAACUGCAGAGCUUGAGUGCCGGAGAGGGUGGCGGAAUUCCCCAAGUAGAGGUGAAAUUCGUAGAUAUGGGGAGGAACACCGGUGGCGAAGGCGGCCACCUGGACGGUAACUGACGCUGAGACGCGAAAGCGUGGGUAGCAAACAGGAUUAGAUACCCUGGUAGUCCACGCCGUAAACGGUGAGAACUAGGUGUCGUGGGUGUUGACCCCCGCGGUGCCGUAGCUAACGCAUUAAGUUCUCCGCCUGGGAAGUACGGUCGCGAGACUAAAACUCAAAGGAAUUGACGG